rnacentral:RNase_P_RNA from 1 species
CAACUAGAUCGGGUGACCGCAGGCUUUUUAGCCUGAGGAAAGUCCGAGCUCCACAGGGCAGGGUGCUGGGUAACACCCAGUGGGGGCGACCCUAAGGAAAGUGCCACAGAAAUCAAACCGCCGGCUGUGCCGGUAAGGGUGAAACGGUGCGGUAAGAGCGCACCGGCGGCCAGGCGACUGGCCGGCCAGGUAAACCCCACCCGGAGCAAGACCAAAUAGGAGGGAGCUAAGGCGGCCCGUCUUUCCCUCGGGUUGGUUGCUAGAGGCGUCAGGCAACUGGCGUCCCAGAUAGAUGGUCACCGAACACAGAACUCGGCUUAUAGAUCUAGUUGCUAC